rnacentral:rRNA from 1 species
GGUUAAGUCCCGCAACGAGCGCAACCCUUGUCUUUAGUUACCAUCAUUCAGUUGGGGACUCUAGAGAGACUGCCGGUGAUAAACCGGAGGAAGGUGGGGAUGACGUCAAAUCAUCAUGCCCCUUAUGGCCUGGGCUACAAACGUAAUACAAUGGCGUAUACAAAGGGAUGCGAAAGGGCGACCUGGAGCAAAACUCACAAAGUACGUCUCAGUUCAGAUUGGAGUCUGCAACUCGACUCCAUGAAGGCGGAAUCGCUAGUAAUCGCGGAUCAGCAUGCCGCGGUGAAUACGUUCUCGGGGUUU